GAGAUGGGAGUCCACUAUUAGGAUCCCACCACAGGAAACAGAUUACAGCAAUUCUUCUUCCAAGAUAAAGAAGAGCAAGAACAUCGCUUAUUUGAGAAAGAAGAGCAAGAACAUCGCUUAUUUAGCAUCAACCUGACUUUAUGCCUCUGUCGGUGUUGCGCUAACUACUUCAACUAUAAGAUGUCCUGUAGUGGGGAGGGCUUUGACUCUAUUAUAUGCUAGAUGCUAGACGAGAGAUGGAUUCCAUUCCACAAUUCCUAUUAGCACGUCAGAGAUUCCACUUCCAUUACCGUUUUCCUCGCCACUCGACUCUCAAUAAGGAUUCCAUUACAGCAAUAAAUUGGAUCUCCUAGACUCACUUAUGCACUCGACUCUCAAGAUUCCAUAAUAGAUUUUCCAGCAAUCGAAUCAGCUGUUUUCGUUUAGUCUACUUGUUUCUGUUCCAGUUCGAAAUGAAAGUGAAGGGAAAAGAAUCUAGUGCUUGCUAAGAAGCUCCAUAGAGUGUUGGCGGGAAGGGAGUUUACCGCGAUAGGUUAGGUGUAGGUUCAACAACAAGUCUCGUCUCUUUGGGUAGGAGGCCAGUCGUCUCUUUUGGUGUUGUCUACGAUAGAAUACAGAAUGCUUAGCCAAUAAUCAGAAUGCUUAGCUCAUCACACGUAGCGCUUCACUUUAGGCUGUAGGAAUAGUAUCAAGUCAGGGCUAAGUGAAUGCAAGCGGUGUAGUUCGGAUAGUUUCAUCUUAGUAUAGAAUUAACAAUAUCCUGGUGAGUAAGAUGUCUUAGGUGCAGUUUCCAGAUCAGUAGAAGAAUCCGUUCUUGUUUCCUAUGUGCCAGCAGUAAGCAACGAAGCGGUUCUCAAAGUUUCGUUCGAGCAAGGAUCUCUCUAUGUUGGGAGUUCGUCUUCAAGUCGAGUUUUGUUUGCUUGUGCUUACUCCCUAGCAUUAAGAAAAGAAUGGAAAGCAUAACAGAUAGAAUACGCUGGCUAAGAGAAGAGGCUUGAAACGGUUCUGUUCCCUUCUUAUACCUUCAGUAGCUCUAGUUCGCGCAACAGAAUAAUCCGUUUUUCAAAGAAGCUUGAGUAUAGAACAAAGGUAAUUAGAGAUAGAUUCCAUUCAAAGGCAAAAGUCAGGUCAGCAGAGCAGUAAUUAAAGUAGCCCAGAGAGAUAGGUUCAGGUUAAAGUGUCGGGUCAGCAGCACCGUCGAAGUAUUAACCUUCAGAAUGGAGUUGAGGAACAGAACUAACUAACGCACCCACUCCUGGAAAGUCACCUAACAGCAGUGACUCUCUUGUGGCGCCGGCAAACACUUUUUUCACAAUGGAACGUUGCUUGCUUACUUCUUCUCUAAAGAAUGGAAUCUAGCGUUCAUAAAUAAUAAAGAAUCCAGUAACCGGACUCCUGACUGCUUACAGCUCCACCUGCUGACUCCUUACUUACACCGAGAAAGACAAUUUGGAUGUUGCAAAAGGUGAUUGAAGAAUGGAAUUGAGGAAUAUCAUUUGGAAUCAGAGGCUCAAGGAAGCGGAACAAAACCAUGGAAUCUCAUUCCUCUGAAUCAUAAAGAGCUCCAUCCAAGCCAACGGCAGCUGAUUUCCGAUCUCUCACAACCCCCGAAGUAAGACCAGUCGGAGCCGAGACUAAUCUAAACCUUUUAGCAGGGGGCAUCUAGACAGAAAAAGAAGGGACGAGCAAACGAGUGUAUCCGGGCCCGGAUCCGAUCUUGAUUAAGUUCAAUCUUUCUCUUCCGGCAGAGCAUCUCGAUAUCGGGAUCCCCCGGCUCAGGGAUGGCAUCAAAAGUCAGUCCUUCGUUCCUUUUAUCCAGGGAAGAGGUAUGGGGCGGGUCUGGUUACGUACCUCUUGAAAUCGGAAUCAGCCAGACGUCAGGUCAUUAAACCCUUAUUCAGGUGUCCGGGGAUGAUAAUCUUUCGAUAAUGUGCAUGGACCCAAGUAGUUCUUUCUUUGCCAUCCACCAGCCCAUCUCUCGUUCGAAUCAAUCAUCUUCAAUAAGACCAAUGAGCGCNNNNN
rnacentral:lncRNA from 1 species